rnacentral:rRNA from 1 species
GAUGAACGCUGGCGGCGUGCCUAAUACAUGCAAGUCGAGCGAACAGACGAGGAGCUUGCUCCUUUGACGUUAGCGGCGGACGGGUGAGUAACACGUAGGUAACCUACCUAUAAGACUGGGAUAACUUCGGGAAACCGGAGCUAAUACCGGAUAAUAUUUUGAACCGCAUGGUUCGAUAGUGAAAGAUGGUUUUGCUAUCACUUAUAGAUGGACCCGCGCCGUAUUAGCUAGUUGGUAAGGUAACGGCUUACCAAGGCAACGAUACGUAGCCGACCUGAGAGGGUGAUCGGCCACACUGGAACUGAGACACGGUCCAGACUCCUACGGGAGGCAGCAGUAGGGAAUCUUCCGCAAUGGGCGAAAGCCUGACGGAGCAACGCCGCGUGAGUGAUGAAGGUCUUCGGAUCGUAAAACUCUGUUAUUAGGGAAGAACAAACGUGUAAGUAACUAUGCACGUCUUGACGGUACCUAAUCAGAAAGCCACGGCUAACUACGUG